ensembl:lncRNA LOC100911990 uncharacterized LOC100911990
AGCGAGCCUAGCUCAUUGCGCCUGCGUCCUGGCGUCUUCCUAAGCAAAGGCAGGUGAAUUAGCUUGUUGGAGGUCCUUCCGCCGCCGUUGAGAAAGUUAAGGGCUUCGAAUUAAACAAGCAACCGCUCACCUAGUCCUUCCACAUUAUUAAUGGACAUGCCGGUGCUAGGUAAGCAGAUCUGGUAAGCAGGCCCACCUCCAUGGAAUUCCAAGUGGUGUAUUGCUAGCCACAUCCCUGAUUCUAGUCUGUCUGCUCCCGGAGACCCACUUUCCUAGAUCCAGAAAAAUCAGGGAUCGAUGGCGAGCCAAAGACACCCCCUGCCUCAAAGACCCAGCAUUACGCAGGCUUGCACUGCAAGGGAAAAGUACGAGAAGCUGGAGGGGACAGCAUUACUGUGGUUACAAAGUGGGCGAGUGUCACUCACUCUGUCUGGGUCAGAGUACAGUAGGGGCGGGAAGGACGGUCAGUCAUCAGAAAGUCAACCUGUGACUUCAGAAGACCACAGGCUAAAGGGAAGGCUGGCGGAGAGCCGAGGGACGCCACCAGGGACAGCCUGGAUGCAGAAGUAAGAAACAACACGCAAAGACCACCGUAUUUUCCUCCAAGUCACACUUCGCAGUUCGCUUCGUUAAACUUCAGCAUACGCAACCACCUGUUUUCGUAUCUCAGGCCCCUAGUAAAAAGUUUCGAAUCCUAAACCUUCGAGUUGACUGACCAAGCUGUCCACCCACGGCGAUCCUCCUGCAUCAGCCUCCCACGUGCUAGGAUUACAAGCCAGCCUUGAGUCUUGAUUCUUCACAGGAUUAAAUGGUCAGUAACCUCCUGGACUAUUAACUGAGCAAUGGGAUGUGUGUGAGGAUACCAUAACGGCAUUAAUUAGCUUCCAAGUAGGAGAAAAUGCAUCAAAUAAUUUAGGAUUUGUCUACCCAUAGAGUUGUUUUCUCUCUACUGCUUUUGAAGGUGCUGCCUGUGUCCCAUGCACAAUGCAGCCUAUGUGAGUUGUGCACGUUGCAUAAUAUCUUUGGAAUUCAGUGGGCAGUUGUUUGGCUCAGACUUUGGGAUUCUAUGGUCAAUGCUUAAAAUUCUGUAGUGGUAUAUCCCUGUACAGAAGUCCUUUAUCCUCAGAGAACACAUCCUGUUUUGUAAGAAACAGAGCUCUCACCUCAAAGUGGCUGAGAGAGAGUGUAUGCCGGAGCCAAACAUGAGUGGCUGUGGCCCAAGAACAAACAGAUUCAGGUGUCCCCAAAUCCCAUGUUCCAAUGUAGCAUCAGUUUUAAUUGUGAGGGAGCACAAUAAAGGAACCACCUAAAUGGCCGUUCAAGGACUAAUGGGGAAGGUUUUUAAUCGUAGAUAGAAAGAAAAUAUGCAGAGGCACAGAGAAAAAGAAGAAAAUGUCCAGAGCACAGAGGAAAAGAAGCAGACUGGGUAUGGCCAGGGCUGUCUGCAGAAGAAGGGAUAUGUGUGAGAGAUGGGGGACAGAGGAGACUGGGAAAUGUUGCUGUUUUGUAGAGUACUGGCAAGUUUGGAGGAGGAGGAACAGUCCUGGACACCCUAGGGUAGAGAAGAAAGAAAGUGAGAAGGGCCAGGACUGGAGGCCAGCAUGGGCUUUGAUAUGCAACCACGGGAGAGCUGUGUGUUUCUUCUGCCAGAGGCAAGGAAAUGACAAGUCUUCUCGGACCUAUAUUUAACCUCCAAGAACCCUGCCGUCCUGCCUGAGGCAUGCCAAGACUGAACAGAGCAAAGAGCACCAGAAACCAACAGACUUUUCAGAUACCCUGGAAGGUACCUCAGCAGGCAGAUUACAGGAAAGCAAUGGGAACAAGCUGCCGAAGACCUGGUGCCAUCAGGACAGACCCUCGGCAUUUGGGUCAGAGGCCGGGGAUCUGUUCGUACACAUCAAAGGAUUUACUGAACAGUCGCAAGGCUGUGGUCUCAUACAGGGGAGGGGAGGUUUUUGGGUAAAGGUUACCCAAAGUCACUGGGCUCUGAACCUCCAACCUCUCCACGUCACUGAACCUCAAUUAGCCUGUAUAGUCUCCAAGCCUUUCCAGGGAUUUCCCUUCAAAGUCCCAAGAUCCCCAGUAGAUGCAGGAAGAGCAGUCAUUACUAAACACUCUAGAAUCCAUGUUUUUUUUUGCUGAACUAGGUGUGGUGGGAGGGGAAGGGAAGGAAAAGACGGGAGAGAGAAUGAAUAAAAGAAGUAGACAAAAACAAACGGAUGAGACCUUGAGCAUUUGGCUGAACAGAUUGUGGAUUCAUUUUUAUUUACACUUAUUUAAGGGAGAACAUGAAGGUGUCAGAGGACAACUCAAAGCCUUGUUUUCUUCCUGGGGAUUGAACUCGGGCUGCUGAUGAGUGCCUUUACCCUCUAAGCCACCACAUCAGCCUGAGCUAUAGAUUCUCAGGACCGCACUGGCAGCUGAGGAAAAAGCGAGAAGUUAAUAACCACUGAUUACACUCACCUUCUUAAAAAUUGUCCUCAGAGGCAGGGUGUUCUUUAAAUAGUGUGUCUUCUCUCUUCCCAUGAUCUCCUAGUCCUCAACCGAACCUUGGAUCUCCAGAAUGUUAAAAACAAGUAGGGGGUGGGGGUGGGAUGGAAAGAUGGCUCAGCGGUUAAGAGCACUGGCUUGGUCUUCCAAAGGUCCUGAGUUCAAUUCCCAGCAACCACAUGGUGUCUCACAACCGAUCUAUAAUGGGAUCUGGUGCCCUCUCCUGGCCAGACAUAGUAUGCAUAAUAAAUCAAUCUUUAGGGGCUGGGGAUUUAGCUCAGUGGUAGAGUGCUUACCUAGGAAGCGCAAGGCCCUGGGUUCGGUCCCCAGCUCCGAAAAAAAGAACCAAAAAAAAAAAAUAAAAAUAAAUAAAUCAAUCUUUAAAAGGUAGGGAGAACAUGUGCUUUUCAGAAAAACUGUAACAG